AUGUUUGAGACAGAAGCAAAAAAACUGAUUAAGCAAUCUGCAAGAUUCUUGAUAGAUAGGGAUGAUUAUGAUAUCCAUGAGCAGGCAGAAAAAAUUCAGAAAAUAUGUGGGCAGAGAUUGAUUUUUCAGUUCAGACUGAAUGACUAUAAUUUCAAGUAUGGUUACCAAGAUUACACUGUUCAUAGAAUAUUUUUUAUAGAUCCUGAAGAAGAUUCAGCAGUACAACAUGCUAAUGUUGAACAGAACCCUACGAAGGGCACUAAAAAGGCUAGGACUAGGAACACAUGUCGCGUUGUACAUUCUGAUGAAGAAUCAGAAGAGGAUAGCCAGGAGAAAGAUGAAUGCAAAUUCAAGGAAUCUAGCCUCAAAAUAAAGAGUACAAUAAGCAUUAUUGAAGACGGAGAUUUAGAAAAAGAUGGAACUUUGAAUUAUUCAAAGACCAGCAUAAGGCUUACUGCUGUUGAUAAGGGAUCUAAGAAGAAAGGAAUUCAGAAUGAUAACCAUGAGCAAGUGAAAAAAUUAUCACUUCCAAAAAAUAUAAAGCAAGAACCAGAGGAUGAUGAACUCACUAUUGACCAGAUUAAAAGGGGUAGGAGACGGAGCACAGUUUGUGUUGCACAUCUUGACGAUGAAUCGAAAGCUAAAGCUAGUCAGGAAAUAAACAAAUCCAAAUCUAUAGAAUCAAGCCCCAAGAGGAAGUGUGUCGUAACACGCAAAUGCGUCGGUGUUGAUCAGGAGAACAAUGAUUCAAAGCCUAGGACAAGGCUUAGUUGUGUCGUGAUAAAAAAUCACAGAAACAAAGGCAUUCAGAAGUCUGGUGUAUUAAGGACUCGACAGACAAGUCGC
rnacentral:rRNA from 1 species